AACGAAUGCUGGCGGCAGGCUUAACACAUGCAAGUCGAACGCAUCCUUCGGGGUGAGUGGCAGACGGGUGAGUAACGCGUGGGAACGUGCCCUUCAGUUCGGGAUAACCCAGGGAAACUUGGGCUAAUACCGGAUACGUGCGAGAGCAGAAAGAUUUAUCGCUGAAGGAUCGGCCCGCGUCUGAUUAGCUAGUUGGUGGGGUACUGGCCCACCAAGGCGACGAUCAGUAGUUGGUCUGAGAGGAGGACCAGCCACAUUUGGACCGAGAAACGGCGCAAACGCCUACGGGAGGCAGCCGUGGGGAUUAUGGGACAAUGGGCGCAAGCCUGAGCCAGCCAUGCCGGGUGAGUGAUGACGGCCUUAGGGGUGUAAAGCUCUUUCGUCCGGGACGAUAAUGACGGUACCGGAAGAAGAAGCCCCGGCUAACUUCGUGCCAGCAGCCGCCGCCG
rnacentral:rRNA from 1 species